AUUGAACGCUGGCGGCAGGCCUAACACAUGCAAGUCGAACGGUAACAGGAAGCAGCUUGCUGCUUUGCUGACGAGUGGCGGACGGGUGAGUAAUGUCUGGGAAACUGCCCGAUGGAGGGGGAUAACUACUGGAAACGGUAGCUAAUACCGCAUAACGUCGCAAGACCAAAGAGGGGGACCUUCGGGCCUCUUGCCAUCGGCUGUGCCCAGAUGGGAUUAGCUUGUUGGUGAGGUAACGGCUCACCAAGGCGACGAUCCCUAGCUGGUCUGAGAGGAUGACCAGCCACACUGGAACUGAGACACGGUCCAGACUCCUACGGGAGGCAGCAGUGGGGAAUAUUGCACAAUGGGCGCAAGCCUGAUGCAGCCAUGCCGCGUGUAUGAAGAAGGCCUUCGGGUUGUAAAGUACUUUCAGCGGGGAGGAAGGUGUUGUGGUUAAUAACCGCAGCAAUUGACGUUACCCGCAGAAGAAGCACCGGCUAACUCCGUGCCAGCCGCCGCGGUAA
rnacentral:rRNA from 1 species